ACGGAGGGAGCAAGCGUUGUCCGGAUUUAUUGGGCGUAAAGCGAGCGCAGGCGGUUUUUUAAGUUUGAUGUGAAAGCCCUCGGCUUAACCGAGGAAGUGCAUCGGAAACUGGAGAACUUGAAUGCGGAAGAGGAGAGUGGAACUCCAUGUGUAGCGGUGAAAUGCGUAGAUAUAUGGAAGAACACCAGUGGCGAAGGCGGCCUACUGGGCUUUAACUGACGCUGAGGCUCGAAAGCGUGGGGAGCAAACAG
rnacentral:rRNA from 1 species